GCGUCGCUAGUGUAAUGGAUAGCACCCAAGAUUCCGGUUCUUGAGAUCCGGGUUCGACUCCCGGGUGACGCAUCA
rnacentral:tRNA from 2 species